CUACCUUUAUACACGAUUGUAGCCCCUCAGUGUAUAAGAGUUAAAUACAUGACUCUAGUACACGACCGUAGCCCCUCAGUGCACUAGAGUAAGAUAAUCACAUCAAUUAUUUAAAUAAUAAUUUUAAAACAAUCAUGCUCAUUUACUAAUUCUCGAAAAUAAGACAUUUCAUGUAAUUAACAUGCUUUAAAAUAAAAAGGAAAUCUUCUUUUUGAAAACGUAGAUUUUCCACUCACAGAUCUAUGAAUAGCAAUUUGGUUCAAUUUUACCAGCCUUGCCCAACUUUCACGUUACCACCUUAGUGUAAAUAGCAUCUCCAAUUCAAAAAUAUUGACUUGAAAACAUAUAUAUUCCUUCCUUAAAAUCUCUUUUCCUCUCUUUUUCCUUUCCUUCAUUUUCUUCCCUCUUUUCUUUCCCUUUUUCUUCUUCUUCUCUGCCGGUCCUUUCUUUCUUUUAGUGUGUGUGUGUGAUUUAU
rnacentral:lncRNA from 1 species